UGGGGGAUAGUUCAACGGCAGAACUAUAGACUCUGACUCUAUCAAUCUUGGUUCGAAUCCAGGUCCCCCAG
rnacentral:tRNA from 1 species